rnacentral:rRNA from 1 species
GACGAACGCUGGCGGCGUGCCUAAUACAUGCAAGUCGAGCGCAGGAAGCAUGCAGAUCCCUUCGGGGUGACGCAUGUGGAAUGAGCGGCGGACGGGUGAGUAACACGUGGGCAACCUGCCUGUAAGACUGGGAUAACUCCGGGAAACCGGAGCUAAUACCGGAUAAUACUUUUGCUUUCAUGAGCGAAAGUUGAAAGGCGGCCUUUCGCUGCCACUUACAGAUGGGCCCGCGGCGCAUUAGCUAGUUGGUGAGGUAACGGCUCACCAAGGCGACGAUGCGUAGCCGACCUGAGAGGGUGAUCGGCCACACUGGGACUGAGACACGGCCCAGACUCCUACGGGAGGCAGCAGUAGGGGAUCUUCCGCAAUGGACGAAAGUCUGACGGAGCAACGCCGCGUGAGUGAUGAAGGUUUUCGGAUCGUAAAACUCUGUUGUUGGGGAAGAACAAGUGCCGGAGUAACUGCCGGCACCAUGACGGUACCUAACCAGAAAGCCACGGCUAACUACGUGCCAGCCGCCGCCGUAAUAC